ACUCAACGCAAAUUUUAUUAAAAAAGGUGAGUCUGUUUGCUAGAGCGCGCCUGAAAAGGAUUAUCGAAUAUUCAGUUAGCCUUAAACCUGUAUAAACAGAGUUU
rfam:Flavobacteriaceae bacterium TMED212 101793, whole genome shotgun sequence.